GCACCCUAUAGGGCAGGAUACCCCCUGGAUAAGUCACCCCAUGGCACGGGUACCCCAUGGCACGGGACACCAUAUGGGGCAGGCACCCUAUGGAGAAGUUACCCCACGGAGAAGUCACCCCAUGGCACAGGACACCCUAUGGGGCAGGACAACCUAUGGGGCAGGACAUGCUGUGGGGCAGGCACCCUAUGGAGAAGUCACCCCAAGGAGAAGUCACCCCAUGGCACAAGACACCCCAUGGCACAGGACACCCUAUGGGGCAGGCACCCUAUGGAGAAGUCACCCCAUGGCACAGGACACCUUAUGGGACAGGACAUGCUGUGGGGCCAGCACCCUAUGGGGCAGGGUACCCCACAGGAGAGGGCAAGCUGUGGGGCCAGCACCCUAUGGGGCAGGGUACCCCAUGGAUAAGUCACCCCAUGGCACAGGUACCCCAUGGCACAGGACACCCUAUGGGGCAGGACAUGCUGUGGGGCAGGCACCCUAUGGAGAAGUCACCCCAUGGCACAGGUACCCCAUGGCACACUAUGGGGCAGGCACCCUAUGGGGCAAGGUACCCCAUGGAUAAGUUGCCCCACGGCACAGGACACCCUAUGGGGCAGGCACCCUAUGGGGCAGGGUACCCCAUGGACAAGUCACCCCAUGGCACAGGACACCCCAUAGCACAGGGCACCCCACGGACACGGCCCCCCAGCCCCAACGCACCGGUGGGUCCCAGCAGCGUGACCUCGAGCGGUGCCAGCCCCGCGGCGCUGCAGUCCAAGGUGAAGGUUUGGGGCAGGCGGGCGCGGACGCUGGGGCCCAGCCCCGGCCCCGAGCACUUCACCUUGCUGGGAUCCACCACGUCCUGCACCGGCACCCGGAACGGGCUCCCUGCGGCACGGCACAGCGCGGCGUCACCGCCGGCACGGGGACGGCACGGGGACAAUAUGGGGACGGGGGGGACAAGGUGGGCAUGGGGACAAUAUGGGGACAGGGGGACAAUGUGGGCAUGGGGACAGUGUGGGGACAACGUGGGCAUGGGGACAGUUUGGAGAUAACGUAGGAACAAGGAGAACAUGGGCAUGGGGACAAUGCAGGGACAACGUGGGCAUGGGGACAAUUUGGGCACGGGGACAACAUGGGGACAAAAUGGGCACGGGGACAAAUUGGGGACAGGGAGACCACGGUCAAGGGGACAGCGGGGGGACAUGGGCACGGGGAGAACACGGGCACGGGGCCACCAUGGGGAUGGGGCCACCAUGGGCAUGGGGACAGCGUGACAACAGGGACGGCACCGCCAUGGGGACAGCGCGGCAGAAGACCCCUGGGAGCCCCCAGCCCCAUCCCCGUCCCCACGCACCGGGGAUGGGGUGGCCACCGAAGGUGAUGUUGACGUCGUAGUCGCCGGGCGUGAAGGGGAUGUACUCCACCGUGCAGCUCCCGUCCUUG
rnacentral:lncRNA from 1 species